rnacentral:tRNA from 1 species
GCGGGUAUAGUUUAGUGGUAAAAUGCGUCCUUGCCAAGGACGAGAUCCGGGUUCGAUUCCCGGUACCCGCA